rnacentral:rRNA from 1 species
UACGGGAGGCAGCAGUGGGGAAUAUUGCACAAUGGGCGCAAGCCUGAUGCAGCCAUGCCGCGUGUAUGAAGAAGGCCUUCGGGUUGUAAAGUACUUUCAGUCGUGAGGAAGGUGUUAAGGUUAAUAACCUUAGCAAUUGACGUUAGCGACAGAAGAAGCACCGGCUAACUCCGUGCCAGCAGCCGCGGUAAUACGGAGGGUGCGAGCGUUAAUCGGAAUUACUGGGCGUAAAGGGCACGCAGGCGGUUAAUUAAGUUGGAUGUGAAAUCCCCGGGCUUAACCUGGGAAUGGCAUUCAAGACUGGUUAGCUAGAGUCUUGUAGAGGGGGUAGAAUUCCAUGUGUAGCGGUGAAAUGCGUAGAGAUGUGGAGGAAUACCGGGUGGCGAAGGCGGCCCCUGGGACAAAGGACUGACGCUCAUGUGCGAAAGCGUGGGGAGCAAACAGGGAUUAGAUACC